AGUUAACGCUGGCGGUAGGCCUAACACAUGCAAGUCGAACGGCAGCACAGUAAGAGCUUGCUCUUACGGGUGGCGAGUGGCGGACGGGUGAGGAAUACAUCGGAAUCUACUUUUUCGUGGGGGAUAACGUAGGGAAACUUACGCUAAUACCGCAUACGACCUACGGGUGAAAGCAGGGGAUCUUCGGACCUUGCGCGAUUGAAUGAGCCGAUGUCGGAUUAGCUAGUUGGCGGGGUAAAGGCCCACCAAGGCGACGAUCCUGAGCUGGUCUGAGAGGAUGAUCAGCCAAAAUGGAGCUAGGACACGGUCCAAACUCCUACGGGAGGAAGCAGUGGGGAAUAUUGGACAAUGGGCGCAAGCCUGAUCCAGCAAUACCGCGUGGGUGAAGAAGGCCUUCGGGUUGUAAAGCCCUUUUGUUGGGAAAGAAAAGCGGCAGGUUAAUACCCCGCUGUUCUGACGGUACCCAAAGAAUAAGCACCGGCUAACUUCGU
rnacentral:rRNA from 1 species